rnacentral:tRNA from 1 species
AAUAAGUUGGCUGAGAUAUUUAGGUUGUAAAUUGUAAAUUUACUUAGGGUUAUUACCUCUUAUUG